rnacentral:rRNA from 1 species
GACAGAGGCCUCGAGCGUUAGGCGGAAUCACUGGGCUUAAAGCGUGUGUAGGCGGGUCCGUAAGUGUCUUGUGAAAUCCCACGGCUCAACCGUGGAACUGCUGGGCAUACUGCGGGUCUUGGGCCAACUAGGGGCAGCCGGAACAAGCGGUGGAGCGGUGAAAUGCGUAGAUAUCGUUUGGAACGCCAAUGGUGAAAACAGGUCGCUGGGGAUGAGCUGACGCUGAGACACGAAAGCCAGGGGAGCAAACGGG